rnacentral:lncRNA from 1 species
CUGUCACCCAGGAUGGAGUGCAGUGGCACGAUCUUGGCUCAUUGCAACCUCUGCCUCCCAGGUUCAAGCGAUUCUGCUGCCUCAGCUUUCCAAGUAGCUGGGAUUACGGAUGCUUGCCACCACGCCCAGCUAGUUUUUGUAUUUUUAGUAGAGACAGGGUUUCACCAUGUUUCCCAAGCUGGUCUCAAACUCCUGACCUCAAAUGAUCUGCCUGCCUUGGCCUCCCAAAGUACUGGAAUUACAGGCAUGAGACAUCAUGCCCAGCCUGACGUCUUAGAUUUAAGUCUUCAAUCUAUUUUAAUUUUAUUUUUGUAUAUGGUGAGAGAUAGGGGUCUAGUUUUAUUCUUCAGCAUACGGAUAUCCAGUUUUCCCAGCACUAUUUAUUGAAGAGACUUUUUUCCCCCAAUGUAUGUUCUUGGCACUUUUGUAAAAAAUGAGUUUACUGCAGAUGUAGAUUUGUUGCUGGCUGGUUCAUCCUCAUUUCCCUGACCACUGAAUAUUGGAGGGCCCUAAGAUUCAGGCUCCAGGCCUUUCCUCUUUCUCAUGUAUGUCUCCUUGGUGAUCUCAUCCUGCCUGUUGGUUCCAUUGGUCUAUGUGUCUGUUUUUAUGCCAGUACCAUGCUGUACUAUAUACUGUGUAGUAUAAUUUGAAGUCAAGUAAUGUGAUUCUUCAGUUUUGUCCUUUUUGCUCAAUAUAGCUUGGCUAUUCUGGAUCUUUUGUGGUUACAUAUAAUUUUAGCAUUUUUUUUCUAAUUUUAAUUAAAAAAAUUUUUUUUGUAUAGAUGUGGUCUCACCAUCUUGCCCUGGCUGGUUUGAAACUCUUGGGCUCAGACAGUCCACCUACCUUGGCUUCUUAAAGUACUGGGAUUAUAGGCAUGAGCCACCUUGCCCAGCCUGUUUUUUCUAUCUCUGUGAAAAAUGUCAUUGGUAUUUUGAUAGGGAUUACGUUGAAUCUACAGACUGCUUUGGGCAAUAUGAACAUUUUCACAAUAUUGAUUCUUUUAGUUCAUGAACGUGAAAUAUCUUUCCAUUUUUUGGUGUCUUCCUCAAUUUCUUUCAUGAGUGUUUUAUAGUUUUCAUUGUAGAGGUCAUUCACUUCUUUGGUUAAGUUAAUUCCUAGGUAUUUAAUUUUAUUUGUAGCUAUUAUAAGUGGGAUUACUUUCUUGAUUUCUUUUUCAGAUUAUCUGCUGUUGGCAUAUAGAAAUGCUACUGAUUUUUGUAUGUUGAUUUUGUAUCCUGCAACUUUACUGAAUUUAUCAGUUCUAAUAGUUUUUUGGUGGAUUCUUUAUGUUUUUCCAAAUAUAAGAUCAUACCAUCUAUGAACAAUGAUAAUUUGACUUCUUCCUUUCCUUUUUUUUUUUUGAGACAGAGUCUUGCUCUGUCACCCAGGCUGGAGUGCAGUGGCAUGAUCUUGGCUCACUGCAUUCAAGCGAUUCUCCAGCCUCAGCCAUCUGAGUAGCUGGUAUUUCAGGCUUCCACCACCAUGCCCAGCUAAUUUUUGUAUUUUUAGUAGAGAUGGGUUUUCACCAUGUUGGCCAGGCUGGUCUCAAACUCCUGACCUCAAGUGAUCUGCCUGCCUCAGCCUCCCAAAGUGCCGGGAUUACAGGUGUGAGCCACCAUGCCCGGCCUUCUUUUCCAAUUUGGAUGCCCAUUCUUUCUCUUGUCUGAUUGCUCUAGCUAGGAUUUCCAGAACUAUGUUGAAUAACAGUGGUGAAAGUGGACAUUCUUGUUGUGUUCCAGAUCUUAGAGGAAAGGCUUUCCAUUUUUCCCCAUUUGGUAUGAUACUAGCUGUGGAUCUGUCAUAUAUAGCUUUUAUUUGUUGAGGUAUGUUCCUUCUAUGCCCAGUUUUUUUGAGAGAUUUUAUCAUGAAGGAAUAUUGAAUUUCAUAAAGUGCUUUUUCAGCAUCAAUUGAAACAAUCAUAUGGGGUUUCCUUUAUUCUGUUGAUAUAAUGUAUUGCAUUAAUUUAUUUGCAUAUCUUGUACCAUCCUUGCCUAUUUGGUCAUGAUGAAUGAUCAGUGAUGAAUUUAAUGUGUUGUUGAAUUCAGUUUGCUAGUAUUUUGUUGAAGAUUUUUGCAUCCUUGUUCAUUGGGGAUAUUAGCUUGUAGUUUUCUUUUUUUGAUGUGUCUUUUUCUGGUUUGGUAUCAGGUUAAUACUGGCUUCAUAGAAUGAGUUUGUAAGUAUUCCCUCCUUCUCUAUUUUUCAGAAUGGUUUGAGUAGAAUUGGUAUUAGUUUUCUUUAAAUAUUUGAUAAACUUCAGUAGGGAAGCCAUUGGGUCCCUGGCUUUCCCUGGCUGGGAGACUUUUUAAAUUUUCUUCUUAAUUUCUUCAUUGAUCCACUGGUCAUUCAAGAGAAUAUUGUUUAAUUUUCAUGUGUUUGUAUAGUUUCCAAAAUAACUCUUGUUAUUAUUUCUAGUUUUAUUCCAUUGUGGUCUGGGAAGAUUCUUUUUUUUUUUUAAUUUUAAAGGCUUGUUUUGUGGUCUAGUAUAUGGUCUAUCCUUGAGAAUAAUUUAUGUACUGAGGAGAAGAAUGAGCAUUCUGCACCCAUUGGAGGAAAUGUUCUGUAAAUAUGCAUUAGGUCCAUUUGGUCUAUAGUGCAGAUGAAGUCCAGUGUUUCCUUGGUGAUUUUCUGUCUGAUGAUCUGUACAGUGCUGAAAGUGGGGUGUUGAAGUCUCCAGCUAUUUUUGUAUUGAGGUGUAUCUCUCUCUUUAGCUUUAAUAUUUGCUGUAUAUAUCUGGGCGCUCCAGUGUUGGGUGCAUAUAUGUUUACAAUUGUUAUAUCCUCUUGCUGAAUUGACCCCUUUAUUAUUAUAUAAUAACCUUCCUUGUCUCUUUUUAUAGCUUUUGUCUUGAAAUCUUUUUUUUUUUUUUUUUUAGAUGAGGUCUUGCUCUGUCACCCAGACUGGAGUGCAGUGGUGCCCUCUUGGCUCACUGCAACCUCUGCCUCCUGGGUUCAAGUGAUUCUCCUGCCUCAGCCUCCCAAGUAGCUGUGACUACAGGAAUGUGCCAUCAUGCCUGGCUAAUUUUUGUAUUUUUAGUAGAGAUGGGGUUUUGCCAUGCUGGUGAGGCUGGUCUCAAACUCCUGACCUCAGGUGAUCCACCCACCUUGGCCACCCAAAAUGCUUGGGAUCACAGUCAUGAUCCACUGUGCCUGGCCAGUUUUUCUCUUGAAAUCUAUGUUGUCUGAUAUAAGUGUAGCUACUCCUGCUGUCUUUUCAUUUCCAUUGGUGUGGAGUAUCUUUUUCCAUCCCUUUAUUUUCAGUGUAUGUGAGUCUUUAUAGGUGAAAUGUGUUUCUUGUAAGCAAUAGAUCUUGUUUUUUUCUUUUUUUUAAAUUCAUUCAGCCACUCUCUCUUUUGAUUGGAGAGUUUAGCCCAUUUACAUUCAGUGUGAUUAUUGGUAGGUAAGGACUUACUCCUGCCAUUUUGUUACUUGUUUUCUGGUUGUUUUGUGGUCUUCUUUUCCUUCUUUCCUUGAUUCUGUCUUCCUUUAAGUGAAGGUGACUUUCUCUGGUGAUAUGUUUAAUUUCUUGCUUUUGUAUAUGUGGUAUGUUUUUUGAUUUGAUACCAUGAGGCUUGCAAAUAAUAUCUUAUAACCUAUUAUUUUAACCUGAUGACAACUUAACACUGAUUUCAUAAACAAGGAAACAAACUAACAAACAAGCAAAGAGAAAACUAAUAAAAACUCAGCAGUUUUAUCUUCAUCCCCCUACUUUUUAAAUUUUUGUUGUUUCUAUUUAUAUCUUAUUGUGCUGUCUAGGUCUUGAAAAGUCAUUGUAGUUAUUAUUUUUGAUUGGCUCAUUGUUUAGUCUUUCUACUCAAGAUGUAAGUAGUUUACCCAUCACAAUUACAGUGUUAUAAUAUUCUUUUCUUUUCUGUUUUUUGAGAUGGAGUCUUGCUCUGUUGCCCAGGCUGGAGUGUAGUGGCAUGAUCUUGGCUCACUGCAACUUCCAUCUCCCAGAUUCAAGCAAUUCUCCUGCCUCAGCCUCCCAAGUAGCUGGGACUACAGGCACAUGCCACCACAUCUGGCUAAUUUUAUAUUUUUAGUAGAGUUGGGGUUUUGCCAUGUUGGCCAGGUUGGUCUCAAACUCCUGACCUCAAGUGAUUCACCUGCCUUGGCCUCCCAAAGUGCUAGGAUUACAGGUGUGAGCCACCGCACCUGGCCUAUUCUGUGCUUUUCUAUGUAGUUACUACUCUCAGUGAGUUUUGUACCUUCAGCUGAUUUCUUAUUGCUUAUUAACAUUCUUUUCUUUCAGAUUGAAGAACUCCCUUUAGCAUUUCUUGUAGAACAGGUCUGGUGUUGAUGAAAUCCCUCAGUUUUUGUUUGUCUGGGAAAUUAUUUCUCCUUUAUGUUUGAAGGAUACUUUCACUGGAUACACUAUUUUGAGAGAAAAGUUUUUUCCAUCCACACUUUAAAUAUGUCACGUCACUCUCUUCUGGCCUGUAAGAUUUCCACUGAGAAGUCUGCUGCCAGACAUAUUGGAGCUCCAUUGUAUGGUUUUUUUUGUUUUGUUUUGUUUUUUUUUUUUUUGGAGAUGGAGUCUUGCUCUGUCGCCCAGGCUGGAGUGCAGUGGUGCAAUCUUGGCUCACUGCAAGCUUCACCUCCUGGGUUCACGCCAUUCUCCUGCCUCAGCCUCCUGAGUAGCUGGGACUACAGUCGCCUGCCACCAUGCCUGGCUAAUUUUUUGUAUUUUUAGUAGAGAUGGUUAGUGUUAGCCAGGAUGGUCUCGAUCUCCUGACUUUGUGAUCCACCCGCCUCAGCCUCCCAAAGUGCUGGGAUUACAGGUGUGAGCCACUGCGCCUAGCCUUGUUUUUUUUUGAGAUGGAGUUUCACUCUGUCGCCCAGGCUGGAGUGAGGUGGCAUGAUCUCGGCUCACAGCAACCUCCGCCCCUAGGGUUCAAGCGAUUCUCCUGUCUCAGCCUCCCGAGUAGCUGGGAUUACGGGUGCCCGCCACCACUGCCAGCUAAUUUUUGUGUUUUUAGUGGAGAUGGGGUUUCACCAUGUUGGCCAGGCUGGUCUAGAACUCCUGACCUCAAGUGAUCCACCUGCCUCAGCCUCCCAGUGUGCUGGGAUUACAGGCGUGAGCCGCAGUGCCCAGCCUCCAUUGUAUGUUAUUUCUUUUUUAUUUAUUGCUGCUUUUAGAAUCCUUUCUUUCUCCUUGACCUUUUGGAGUUUGAUUAUUAAAUGUCUUGAGGUAGUCUUAUUUGGAUUAAAUCUGCUUGGUGUUCUGUAACAUUCUUGUACUUGAAUAUUGGUAUCUUUCUCUAGGUUUGGGAAGUUCUCUGUUAUUAUCCCCUUGAAUAAACUUUCUAUCCCUAUCUCUCCCUCUCUACUGCCUCUUUAAGGCCAAUAAAUCUUAGAUUUGCCUUUUGGAGGCUAUUUUCUAGAUCUUCUAAGCAUGCUUCAUUCUUUUUUAUUAUUUUUUACUUUGUCUCCUGUAACUGUGCAUUUUUAAAUAGCCUGUCUUCAAGCUCAUUAAUUCUUUCUUCUGCUUGAUCAAUUCUGCUGUUAAGAGACUCUGAUAGGCUGGGUACUGUGGCUCAUAUCUGUAAUCCCAGCACUUUGGGAAGCCAAGGCAGGUAGAUCACUUGAAUUUAUGAGUUCAAGACCAGCCUGGGCAACAUGGUGAAAUCCUGUCUCUACCAAAAAUACAAAAAAUUAACCAAGCAUAGUGGUGUGUGCCUGUGGUCCCAACUAUUCAGGAGGCUGAAGUGGGAGGGUCACUUGAUCCCAGGAGGUAAAGGUUGCAGUGAGCCAAGAUUGCACCACUGCAUUCCAACCUGGGUGACAGAAUGAGACCCCAUCUCAAAAAAAAAAAAAAAAAAGAGAGACUCUGAUAUAUUAUUCUUCAGUAUGUUCCUUGCCCUUUUUAACUCUAGAAUUUCUGCUUGAUUCUUUUUAAUUAUUUCAAUUUCUUUGUUAACUUUAUCUGAUAGGAUUUUGAAUUCCUUUCCUGUGUUAUUUUGAAUUUCAUUGAGUUUACUCAAAAAUUCUAAAUUCUCUUGUCUGAAAGGUCACAUAUUUCUGUCUCUUCUUGAUUGGUCACUGGUGCCUUAUUUAGCUCAAUUGGUGAAGUAAUGUUUUCUUGGAUGGUCUUGAUGCUUGUGGAGUUUGUUGGUAUCUGGGCAUUGAAGAGUUGGGUAUUUAUUGUAGUCUUCGAAAUCUAGGCUUGUUUGUACUCAUCCUUCUUCAGAAGACUUUCCAGGUAUUCAGAGGGACUUGGGCAUUGUGAUCUAAAUUUUUGGUCAUAGCAGCCAUAUCUGUAUGAGGGGGCACCCCAAGCCCAGUAAUGCUGUGGCUUUUGCAGACUUGUAGAGGUACUGCCUUGGUGUUCUUAGAUAAGAUCUGGAAAGAUUCACUGGAUUACCAGGCAGAGACUCUUGUUCUCUUCCAUUACUUUCUCCCAAACAAAUGGAGUCUCUCUCUGCUGAGCUGCCUGGAGCUGGGGGUGGGGUGACAUAUGCACCCCUAUGAUUACAACUACUGGGACUAUGCUGGUCAGGCCUGAAGCCAGCUCAGCAAUGGGUCUCAAUCAAGGCCCUCAGUAACCUCUGCCUGGCUGCCACCUAUGUUUGUGCAAGGCCCUAAGGGCUCUACCAUUAGCAGGUGGCAAAGCCAGCCAGGCUUGCGUUCUUCUCUGCAGGGCAGCACAUUCCCCCUGUUCCCAGGUGGGUCCAGAGAUGUCGCCUGGGAGCCAGGGCCUGGAGUUCUGUUACUGUGGCUGAGCUUGCACCCAAGCUACAAGAUGACAUCCUACUCUUCCCUCACCUUUCUACAAGUAGAGGAGUCUCUUCUCAUGGCCACCAUUGUCCCAGCCUGCGGCUUUGCUUGGGAUUGGACCGACGUCUAGUUACUGGGUAUGGACUACCUCCCCAGCCCCUACCCCAAAGACUUAAUAUAAUCAACCUUUCUUACUCACCUCCCCUUCCCCACCACGGUGAUCUGUUUAGGAAUGGACACAUGACCCAUCUGUGACCAAUGAGAGUGAAUUUCAGGAUUUAUUCUCUCUUUCUCUAUAAGGAUGUGAGGUCUGGAACAGCUGCAGCCAUUUUGCCACCAUGGGAAACCUGGGACAUCUGAACUGACUCCAUGAAGCCUGAAGAGAAAGCUAAUAAGAAGGCAGAGAGAAGAGGAAGAGUCUUGGUCUUUGGAAAUAUCUUUUGGAGCUGCUGGAUCAAGUAUCACUUGAAGUAUUAUUGAAUUUAUUCCCCGAAGGAGAGCGGCUAAGAGUAUUGCCCAGCCACAGGCUCUCAACCACCAACCCGAGCCUCAGAUUCUCCUCACACAGCCACAGCUGUACCACAUGGCCCACGUGGUAUGGUGCUAAUUCCUCUGACAUCUAAUUUUCACUUUUUGGCAAUAUUUGGUCUCAUCAAGCUUUACACAUAAAUAUUUUCAGCAAAGUGCUCCAAAUGCCUUUUUCAGAAAUCUGAAUCCACAUGAAAACAAUGGCAACAAGAAAAAGGUGUAAACUUUCCAGAACAGGCCCAGAAUUUGAAAAUGUGAUAAAGAGGUUAUUGUGCGCCCGAACUUUUCACACAAGAAUUGGAGGAGAUUUAACACAUGGAAUAAUAAACAGAGGAAGGCGGGCUAAUGCAGAGCAGAUGGGCCUGCAGGGCAGUGCUCAGCAUUUCAACAUCUUUCCCCUGGACCUUUGGACCCAAGGUGAUUGCAUGCUGGUGUCUUUAGCUAAAAAUAAAGUUAAUGUCUUUGGGGCAAUCAUAAAUAUGGCUGCUUCAGUUUCUGGGGUGAUUGGUGGUCUAAAGUUUUCAAGAACCUACUAUGUGAAAGGCAUUUGACAUUCACUAAUUUAAUCCCAACUACUACUCCAUUUUGAAGGAAAAAAAUGAAGGCUCUGAAAGUGUAAAUCGCUUACUGAAGGGCACACGGCCAGGAUGACAGCGGAGCCAGGAUCACCCCAGGUCUGUCUCAUUGCAUAUGUCAUGGCUCUGCAAACUGGGGCAAUAGGUGAGCAGGGAGAAGAGUCAUGGCCAAAUAAAAUUGAGACAUACCGAUACACACACACACACACACACACACACACACACAUUUACACGGUAACAGCCUUAUUAAGGUACAACUAAUGUACAAUAAGGUGUACAUAUUUAAAGGAUACUAUUUGAUAAGUUUUGACAUAUGUCUGUACCUGGGAAACCAUCACUACAAUCAUGAUGGUGAGCAUAUCUAAUACUCUCAAAAGUUUCCUCUUGCCUUUUGUAAUUCCAUUCUGCCAUCCCACCUGUCCCUCCCACUCCUGAUCCCAGGCAACCACUGAUCUGCUUUCUGUCACUAUAGAUUAGUUACAUUUUCUAGAAUUUUAUAUAAAUGAAAUAAUACAAUAUGUACUAUUUUUCUGUGUUUCUUUCACUCAGCAAAAUUAUUUUGAGAUUCAUUCAUGUUAUUGCUUGUUUAUUCCUUUAUAUUGUUGAGUAGUUAUUCCAUUGUAUGAAUAUGCCACAAUUUGUUUAUCUGUUCAUCUACAUAUGGACAUCUAUAGAUGUUUGCACUUUUGGGCUAUUAAAAAUCAAGUUGAUGUGAAUGUUUGUAGACAAGUCUCUGUAUGACAUGUAUUUUCUUUUCUUUUGGAUAAAAACCUAAGAAUGAAAUGACUAAAUUAUAUUGUAGGUACAUGUCUAACUUUUAAAGAAACCAUUAAGCUGUUUUCCAAAGUGGUUGCACCAUUUUACCUUCCUACCAGUAGUGUAUGAGAGUUCCAGUUCCCCAACAUCUUCACCAGUACUUGGUAUGGUCAGUCUUUUUAAUUUUUGUCAUACUAAUAGGCCUGUAGUGGUAUUAAG